GCGACCCCAGGUCAGGCGGGAUCACCCNNUGAGUUUAAGCAUAUC
rnacentral:rRNA from 1 species